CGAAAGUGUAAACAAAUAGUGAUGCCUUAAAUGGCAAAAACGAAGAAAAACUAUUUUAAAUCACAUCAACAGUCGUGGAAGCAAAAAAAAUAAAAAAAAAUUAUAAACAAAUCGACAGCAACUCGUUUAGCAAUCACUUAAUUGCCGCUAAACUAACAAAGUACUUGCACGUAUACAGCUUGAUGAUGGAAAUUUAUAGUUAUUUUAAUGGAAACUAACCGAAUGUAUCGCACAGCAAUUGACCCGAAUACAAUUGCAAUCGUGCAAAACACAAACUGUGCGCAUUGAGGGUGCUGUAUUCAAAUAACACUUGAAAUUGUAAUUGCCAUUAAGUGCCUUAUCGACAAUCGCUUUCGAUGGCUGGCGAAUUGUAAACAAACAAAUUAAACUGAAACUAUCAAGUUAAUGAUGGCAAACGAAAACAAAGCAGCCAUAUAAAUGCAUACCAUUAUAAGUAUGUAUUUAUAUGCCAGAUGUCAGCUGGUAAGAGUGUUAAAGCAACGAAAUUGGGGUUAACGAUAAUGCAAGUUUAUGAAAAUUCAUAAUGACGAUAACACAUAAUAAUCUUUUAUGUCAAUCUAGUUACAUAAAUGCAUACAAGUAAAAUCGAAGUACAAAAUCUUUUAAAAAGGAAAGCUAAACAAAUUUCAUGCAGCCAAAGAACACUAACUCACAAAAUCCCAGUUAAGCCAAAUCGUUUAAACCAGGAAUUGAAAACAAUAGUUAUUUUAGAAAUUUCAAUUCAAAAAGUCAGUCGG